GCGGGUGUAGUUGAGUGGUACAAUGUCUCGUUGCCAACGAGAAGCCGGGGGUUCGAUUCCCCUCACCCGCUCCG
rnacentral:tRNA from 5 species